GGCGGGUUAUUGCUUAUGAUUAUAAUCAUCAUGAUGGGCGAUCCUAAACGUUUGUAUCCACCUUCAAUGAAAACCCUGCUGAAAUCUCUGCAACGACCAAAAUACGAUUAAGCUCAAGCAUCAUGCAGGCGACAGACGACUGCUGGCAGCCGACGAAACAAAAGGUUGUGGCGCCGCCUGUCACACACCCAUACACCCGAUCACCUGACCAUGCAAACUCACUCAUUCAUCCACUUACCCAUCCCUUCAUCUGUUUUUCCAUGCAUCUACUAAAUACCAUACAUGGCCAUCUCCAUGCCGGCACCCACACAAACCACGCGUGUCCCUGCGCCCUCCUACCGGCGUGUGUAUGCACCCCGGCCUAGCUACCUACCUCGCCUGCCUGAGCUCACCUUCCCGGCCAGCUACCAACCCGCCUAUCUAGGAAAGUGCUGGACUUGCAAUCAGUGCAGUGUGUUAUGCAUUUUAACCUCUGACUCGCGAGCAGCGAUCGCUGCUGGCUGACCGGCGGAUCCGUAUACAUACACACACACUCACUCUGCAUGGGAGGUACACAGCACGCUCCACAGCAAUCUACAGCCAUGACACACAUACACACAUACAUACAUAUACACACAUACAUAUAAAACCCUAAAACCCUAAACAUACAUAUCAGGGUUCGACACUGACCUUCCUGAAACUUGCGGGCUCCCCCGUACCUCCCAAAUUUUCCUUACGGAGGGGCCCCCGUACCAGGCUCCUGUACCGGCCGAAAACCUUACGGGGGCCCCCGUAACCCCCGUAAAACUUUUACGGGUGCACUGUCCU
rnacentral:lncRNA from 1 species